UACGUAGGUGGCAAGCGUUGUCCGGAUUUACUGGGCGUAAAGAGCGCGCAGGCGGUCGGUCAAGUCGAGUGUGAAAGCCCCUGGCUCAACUGGGGAGGGUCACUCGAUACUGAUCGACUCGAAGGCAGGAGAGGGAAGUGGAAUUCCCGGUGUAGUGGUGAAAUGCGUAGAUAUCGGGAGGAACACCAGUGGCGAAGGCGACUUCCUGGCCUGUUCUUGACGCUGAGGCGCGAAGGCCAGGGGAGCAAACGGG
rnacentral:rRNA from 1 species